CUCGUGGUGUUAAUAUUUAAUUGCACUCCUUCCCGUGUGAUUACCUAUACUUAUAUUAUUAUAUAGCAUUGACAUUUAUAUUACAGUGAACUAUAAUUGCCGAUGUUUUAUGAUUAUUGUACAUUAUUUUUGGUGCCCCCUACCUUUCUUUGAUAUUUUUGGUAGCCCCCCCCCCCAAGUGGUUAAUACAUUUUUGGUGCCCUCCCCACAAAUAUCUUCCGCCUUCCUGCCCCACACCCAGCAUUAAUAAUGACUGCUCCCUAAUGUCAAAA